UGUGCGUCGUAGUGCCGAGUUUUGUUCAAGCGGUGGAUUUUUACUGCGUUGCCUCGCGUUGUGUGUUGUGUGUUGCGGUUACUGACGUAAGCGCAAGUUCUUCACUGAGUGUGAUCCGCGGCACCGUGCAAAUAGUCACCAGAUGCCGGCCGUGCGACUCCGUUCUCUGCGACUCCUUUGUUCGGUGUGAUCGAAGUACGUACGUGAUUCAUAGCUUUGGAGACCCUCUUUACACCGUGCCCUCUUCAAAUGUUUCCGCACAUCACCGAGUAGCAGCGCCGCAGUCCUUACUCGACGACACGCUCUGUGGGUCUGGAAAAUGCCUUGACGCUCGAGCACUUCGGGAGCUAUACCGGCGGACAGCCGGACGCGGGUAUCUUGGUCGUUCCUUGCUCUGCGCAUCGCUUGAAAACCGGCGGUCAUACUCCAGUGUACGCUGCCAGCGUGCUUUAUUGCCAGAGCCGCCUCCCCUUCUGGUGAUGACCAUAUGCAGCCAAUGCUGAUGUGAACCUGAGUGAUGAACAAAUGCAGAUCUGCAAAGGAGCUGUCCUGA
rnacentral:lncRNA from 1 species